rnacentral:piRNA from 1 species
UCUGACUUACUGAGUGAGGA